rnacentral:tRNA from 1 species
GGCUCCGUAGCUCAAUUGGCAGAGCAGCUGACUCUUAAUCAGCGGGUUGUAGGUUCGAUUCCUACCGGAGUCA